CAGUCGAACGAAGCACUUUGAUUGAUUUCUUCGGAAUGAAGUUUUAGUGACUGAGUGGCGGACGGGUGAGUAACGCGUGGGUAACCUGCCUCACACAGGGGGAUAACAGUUGGAAACGGCUGCUAAUACCGCAUAAGCGCACAGUACCGCAUGGUACGGUGUGAAAAACUCCGGUGGUGUGAGAUGGACCCGCGUCUGAUUAGCUAGUUGGCAGGGCAACGGCCUACCAAGGCGACGAUCAGUAGCCGACCUGAGAGGGUGACCGGCCACAUUGGGACUGAGACACGGCCCAAACUCCUACGGGAGGCAGCAGUGGGGAAUAUUGCACAAUGGGGGAAACCCUGAUGCAGCGACGCCGCGUGAGCGAAGAAGUAUUUCGGUAUGUAAAGCUCUAUCAGCAGGGAAGAAGAAAUGACGGUACCUGACUAAGAAGCACCGGCUAAAUACGUGCCAGCAGCCGCGGUAAUACGUAUGGUGCAAGCGUUAUCCGGAUUUACUGGGUGUAAAGGGAGCGUAGGCGGCAUGGCAAGUCAGAAGUGAAAGCCUGGGGCUCAACCCCGGAAUUGCUUUUGAAACUGUCAGGCUAGAGUGUCGGAGGGGUAAGCGGAAUUCCUAGUGUAGCGGUGAAAUGCGUAGAUAUUAGGAGGAACACCGGUGGCGAAGGCGGCUUACUGGACGAUUACUGACGCUGAGGCUCGAAAGCGUGGGGAGCAAACAGGAUUAGAUACCCUGGUAGUCCACGCCGUANACGAUGAAUACUAGGUGUAGGAGGUNUCGACUCCUUCUGUGCCGCA
rnacentral:rRNA from 1 species